CGUCCCGAGCCUUUGCGUCAAAGAAAGCAAGGGUUUCCGGGCGCCGGGUUUUGCCACCCGCCGUCUCCCGGCGUCUCGCUCCGGAGAACGUGGAAAUCCGGACUCCUGGUUCUGCUGCCGCCCGGAGACAGGCAAACCUCCCCAUAUGAGAUGUCGCAGCAGGUAAAAGAGCUUGCUGACCAAGCUGGAUCACCUGAGCUCCCUGGAACCCACCUGAUGGAAGGAGAGAACUGACUUAAGUUGUCAUCUGAUAGCUACAGGUUCAGUGCUGUGGCAUGUGUCCCUCCUCCCCACAACGAUGAUGAUGAGGAGGAAGAAGAUACAGAAAAUAAAAAUUCAAGAUUUAUUUGGGGAAGGUGGGGUGCUACAAACUAGUAAAUCCCAGGAAUCCCAGACUAAGGCAGGAGGUUCAUGAAAUUCAGCCUGAGCUAUGUAGCCAGACUGUCUCAAAAGGUCAGAAAGAGAAAGGAAAAAGAUUCACUUAUUCAAAGAAAUCGUGGCCUUUGAGAGGACGAAAGUAGUUCACCAACCAAACACAUAUUGAAAACCUCGUGUAUACAGAGCAUAAAGGAAGUCUGAUACACACACAGAGUUCCCAUUUCAUCUUUGCUGGCUGCAGACAGUAGGCCCAGUAAGCAGAUAAAGACACGACCUACAAAGACUCAGUUACCGGCCCUGGGUCACACGUGUAAGUGGUGGGGUCGAAAGGAGGAAGGCAGUGAGCUAGAGAGGGUUCCAGGCUUCCUGCCUCCAG
rnacentral:lncRNA from 1 species